CAAACGUAUUGGAACACUUCGUAUUUCACACAUUUGAAUUUGUUUAUGCCAUUUCAAAUACAAAUAAAAAAAUAAAUCUAAAAAAAAAAUCUCAAAUUA